UAGGGAAUCUUCCGCAAUGGGCGAAAGCCUGACGGAGCAACGCCGCGUGAGUGAUGAAGGUCUUCGGAUCGUAAAACUCUGUUAUUAGGGAAGAAUAAAUGUGUAAGUAACUAUGCACGUCUUGACGGUACCUAAUCAGAAAGCCACGGCUAACUACGUGCCAGCAGCCGCGGUAAUACGUAGGUGGCAAGCGUUAUCCGGAAUUAUUGGGCGUAAAGCGCGCGUAGGCGGUUUUUUAAGUCUGAUGUGAAAGCCCACGGCUCAACCGUGGAGGGUCAUUGGAAACUGGAAAACUUGGGUGCAGAAGAGGAAAGUGGAAUUCCAUGUGUAGCGGUGAAAUGCGCAGAGAUAUGGAGGAACACCAGUGGCGAAGGCGACUUUCUGGUCUGUAACUGACGCUGAUGUGCGAAAGCGUGGGGAUCAAACAGG
rnacentral:rRNA from 1 species